UGGUUCUAGUCACAACACUGUUACAUGUGUGAUGCAGUGUUUGAUAACAUACUUGGAUGAGGCCUUUCUACAGGAUCAUGGGAUCUGUUGAUCUCCAUUUUAAAAAAUAAAUCAUAGCUAAAAUUCAGUAAAGACCUCCCUAUUUUGUAAUCUGCGUGAAAUAUACUUGCAUCCAUUAUCCAAGCACAGCUGGGAAAUGGAUCACAGCUCUCACUUGCUGCCAUGUUGCUGUGAUAUUUGGCAGCUAGAACACCCUUUCUAAGGGGGAGAAGGAAUGACUGAGAAUGGCUUGAAUUAAAGAUGUAUCUCAUCUCUAUAGAGGAGGAGUCGAGAAGAGAUUAAAUCAUAAAAGCAUUUCCUGAGGCACACAAUCUACCUAGACCUAACGUAUUCAGAAAAUCAUAACUUUUUUUUCUGAAAUUACGAAAUACAUGCGCUGUACCUUCAGUGAAGCAUCUGUGAGUUAGUUGUUUUUGUACUGGCAUGAAAUGAAGUAUAUCUUAAUUUGGGAUUUUUAACUGAGUAUUUUAUAAAGAUGCUGUACACUAACUGUUAACACUUUAAUUUAUCCAAUGCUUAUGGCCUGGCCAUUGGUAUCUUUGUGUUGGAAAUAUUUAUCUAAAAAAUGCAACAGAUAAUCAGUUAAAUUAUUACAAAUCAAUCCUUGAAUAAUUGUAAUAAAUUCUCUAACACAAGCAUCUUAAUUUACCUUUGUGUGGAGCAAACAAAAUGUAGUAAUUUUCCAAAUGUGUUUUUAUUUUGUUUACCUUGAUCAAACUCAAAUGUUUAGUACAUGCAUGGAAGGAAUAGUCAAGCAUGUCUUUGUAUUUGGAAGUGAUGCCUGUCAUCUCUUUCGGCUUUUUUAUCAAAUAGCUAAUUAAAAAUGUAUUAACAGUCAAAAUGAAACCUUAGUAGCAUUUAAGUUGUAUGCUCCUGCCAUGAGAAACAUUUUUUAUAUGGCUCCAAAAAUAAGAAUUUCAGAACUUGUUUUCCUGAAUUCAGAAACUUGCAAUGAAGUUUUAGACUAAACUCAGGAUGCUUGCUUAAGUUUU